UCCGUAGGGGGCAAGCGUUGUCCGGAUUUAUUGGGCGUAAAGAGCGUGUAGGCGGCCUGACAGGUCAGCUGUGAAAACUCGAGGCUCAACCUCGAGACGUCGGUUGAAACCAUCUGGCUAGAGUCCGGAAGAGGAGUGUGGAAUUCCCGGUGUAGCGGUGAAAUGCGCAGAUAUCGGGAAGAACACCCGUGGCGAAGGCGGGUCUCUGGGCCGAUAUUGACGCUGAGGAGCGAAAGCGUGGGGAGCAAACAGG
rnacentral:rRNA from 1 species